AUUGGAAUUGCGUGGAUAGUAGUUGCGGAACACAAAGCCACGACACUGAUCAAUGCAGUGAAACAGAGGGUUCCAGUCAAACAUCUGCAGCAUGAAGGGCGGCAGUGAGUUUGCCACAAACAUCUUACCCGAGGCGAUCAUGUUCGCGCGCUG
rnacentral:ncRNA from 1 species